GACGAACGCUGGCGGCGUGCUUAACACAUACAAGUCGAACGGUGAAGCGCCUUCCUUUUUGGUGGGUGUGGAUGAGUGGCGAACGGGUGAGUAACACGUGAGUAACCUGCCCCCUUCUUCUGGAUAACCGCAUGAAAGUGUGGCUAAUACGGGAUAUUCUGGGUCUGUCGCAUGAUGGGUCUGGGAAAGAUAUUGUUUCGGUGGGGGAUGGGCUCGCGGCCUAUCAGCUUGUUGGUGGGGUGAUGGCCUACCAAGGCGGUGACGGGUAGCCGGCCUGAGAGGGUGGACGGUCACACUGGGACUGAGACACGGCCCAGACUCCUACGGGAGGCAGCAGUGGGGAAUAUUGCACAAUGGGCGCAAGCCUGAUGCAGCGACGCCGCGUGAGGGAUGGAGGCCUGCGGGUUGUGAACCUCUUUCGCCAGUGAAGCAGGCCUGCCUCGUUUGUGGGUGGGUUGACGGUAGCUGGAUAAGAAGCGCCGGCUAACUACGUG
rnacentral:rRNA from 1 species